GACGAACGCUGGCGGCGUGCUUAACACAUGCAAGUCGAGCGGAGCGGCGAACGGGUGAGUAACGCGUGAGUAACUGCCCCCCUCUCUGGGCUAACAGUUGGAAACGGAUGCUAAUACCGGAUAGUGGGGGAUGACUCGCCUCCUGUCAGAUUGUUGGUGGGGUAGUUGCCUACCAAGGCGACGACGGGUACCCGGCCCGAGAGGGCGAACGGCCAGAUUGGGAUGGGAUACGGCCCAGGCUCCUGCGGGAGACAGCAGUGGGGAAGAUUGGACAAUGGGCGCAAGGCUGAGCCAGCAACGCCGCGGGAAGGAAGACGGUCUUCGGAUUGUAAACUUCUUGAGACAGAGACGCGGUACCUGUAGAAUAAGCCACGGCUAACUACGUGCCAGCCGCCGCGGUAAUUC
rnacentral:rRNA from 1 species